rnacentral:rRNA from 1 species
ACGCUGGCGGCGUGCCUAAUACAUGCAAGUAGGACGCCAGUUUAUACCGUAGCUUGCUACACCAUAGACUUGUGAGUUGCGAACGGGUGAGUAACGCGUAGGUAACCUGCCUAUUAGAGGGGGAUAACUAUUGGAAACGAUAGCUAAUACCGCAUAACAGUAUGUAACACAUGUUAGAUGCUUGAAAGAUGCAAUUGCAUCGCUAGUAGAUGGACCUGCCUUGUAUUAGCUAGUAGGUAGGGUAAUGGCCUACCUAGGCGACGAUACAUAGCCGACCUGAGAGGGUGAUCGGCCACACUGGGACUGAGACACGGCCCAGACUCCUACGGGAGGCAGCAGUAGGGAAUCUUCGGCAAUGGGGGGAACCCUGACCGAGCAACGCCGCGUGAGUGAAGAAGGUUUUCGGAUCGUAAAGCUCUGUUGUUAAGGAAGAACGAGUGUGAGAAUGGAAAGUUCA